GUUACCCAGGUGUAACACAGGUGUAACCUUAUAGAACCCAGGUGUAACCCAGGUGUAACCCAGGUGUUACACAGGUUUAACCAAGGUGUAACCAAGGUAGAACCCAGGUGUAACCAAGGUGUAACCCAGGUGUAACCAAGGUAGAACCCAGGUGUUACAUAGGUAGAACCCAGGUAGAACCCAGGUGUAACCAAGGUAGAACCCAGGUGUUACCCAGGUUUAACCAAGGUGUAACCAAGGUGUAACCAAGGUAGAACCCAGUUUAACCAAGGUGUAACCAAGGUAGAACCCAGGUGUAACCAAGGUGUAACCCAGGUGUAACCAAGGUAGAACCCAGGUGUUACCCAGGUAGAACCCAGGUGUUACCCAGGUGUAACCAAGGUAGAACCCAGGUGUUACCCAGGUGUAACCAAGGUAGAACCCAGGUGUUACACAGGUGUAACCCAGGUAGAACCCAGGUGUUACCCAGGUAGAACCCAGGUGUUACCCAGGUGUAACCAAGGUAGAACCCAGGUGUUACCCAGGUAGAACCCAGGUGUUACCCAGGUAGAACCCAGGUGUUACCCAGGUAGAACCCAGGUGUUACACAGGUGUAACCGAGGUAGAACCCAGGUGUUACCCAUAUAGAACCCAGGUGUUACCCAGGCAGAACCCAGUUGUUACCCAGGUGUAACCCAGGUAGAACUCAGGUGUGUUUGUUGU